AUCAGCCACAUAUCUUCUCAGUGCCCCUGUGCGGUAGAUUAGACUAAUUGUCCCAGGCUUACCAAGUGAACAUCACAAAUGAGUGGGGACCUGAACCUGGGUCCAUCUUGUCCCAGUGGAGGAGGAAUGAAGUGGAAGUCGGGGAGGAAUGACUCUCAGUUCGAGGAGGUGGCAGUUCCGGCCUUUCAGGAAUCGCUUUCAUGCUGUCAUGAAAUGUGUCCACUUCUGUUCACUAAUUUGCCAGUAUGUUCCCAUUAUUUUCAAUGGAGGAAACACUUCCACUCCUGCCUGUAACUUCAUGGUUUUCAAGUCAAUCUGGAUGAAAUAUGCAGAUAUAUGAAGACCCCUCCUAGGGAUUGUGUCUGCCAAAUUUAAGAGAUGGUGCUCAAGGGACCCAUUAUCAAAAAUUGUCACACCUGACCAGACAUAAGCUUCCCUUUGGUUUCAAUGAAGAGAGCCAGCUUCUGUCCCUGGCUUUGCUGUUCUCCAGCCAAUCUGCAUUAACGAUCUGUGUUCAAGGACACAGUCAAGGGAUCACACCUGUCGUACUUCCAACAGCUAGCACCACAGGACCCCAUUGCUGAAGACACUAAGAAGUACACAGAUUAAUGGCUAUCUAAACUGAUGGGAAACAACAAUUAAAAACUGGAAAUGUGGUGUUGGACCAGUUAAUUCUUGGCGUGUUGUAGACAUUUUGAAUAAUAUGAUGAUGUAAUAAAGACCAAGUUAGGCACAGGG